AUGGAGGCAACAACCAUCAGCAUUGGAAAGUCCGUGUUGAGCGGGGCGCUCAACUACACCCAGUCAGCUGUGGCCAAGGAGGUAGCUCUGCAGCUUGGUGUCCAGCGUGACCAGUCAUUCAUUUCGGACGAGCUCGAGAUGAUGCAAGGUUUCCUGAUGGCUUCACAUGACGAGCGGGAUGACAACAAGGUGGUGAAGAUCUGGGUGAAGCAAGUCCGCGAUGUGUCCUAUGAUGUCGAGGACUCCCUCCUGGAUUUUGCUGUCCGUCUCGAGAAGCAAUCUUGGUGGCGUCUCUCUCGCAUGGUGCUAGCCCGGCGUUAUGUGGCGAAGCAGAUGAAGGGCCUCAGAGUUAAGGUGGAGGAGGUCAGCCAGAGGAACCAACGGUACCACCUCAUCAAGGGCUCUAGCUCCAAGUUUACCUCAACUGUUGGGCAGCCUACCAUCUCCAGUGCGACGAUGUCUGCUACCGAUGAUGCAAGGCUGCGGCGGCAUAAAGCUAAAAUGGGUCUUGUCGAGCUGAUCAAUUGCAAGGAUGAUGCACUUCGAGUGAUGGGGCUGUGGGGCACAAGUAUUAGUAAUCUGGGGGAGAUAUCCAUCCUGAAAAGUGCCUAUGAAGAUCCCAUGAUACAUAAGAAUUUUGAUUGUUGUGCUUGGAUAACAUUGAUGUGUCCAUUCAAUCAGGCAGAUUUGAUUCAAACCAUUGUUAGCCAAAUCUAUGUUAAUUCCCUUCAAGACUCAGGAGAAGAAGGUAAAACAACUAUUGGGGCCCAAGUUCUUAAGAUGAUGGCGACGACGAAGGAAGAUGGUUUGGCUCAUGACUUCAAGAGAUAUUUGAAUGACAAGAGUUACUUAAUUGUACUCAACGACAUACACACCAUUGAAGAGUGGGAUUGCAUUAAAACAUGUUUCCCAAACAACAAAAAAGGAAGCCGAAUCAUAGUAUCCACUGAGCAAGUUGCAGUUGCAAGCUUAUCCGUAGGAGCAGAGGAUCAAACUCUAGUGCAUAGGAAGUUACUUGCUGAUAAGCCUCUUUAUGCUUUCUACAACAAGGUUUCUCACGAGGGAAGCAAUUCGGAGGAAAAAGGGUCCACCUCAUAUGUAACCCCUAGCGUUGUUAACAGCUCUGCACACAAGAACAUCCUCACUCGCACGGAGACAAUGUCUACUCUAGAGGAAUCUCGUCUCAUCGGGAGAGGGAAUGAAAAAGAGGAAAUCAUCAAACUAAUCUCAAAUAAAGAUGCCCAACAAUUUCAUGUGUUCUCCUUGUGGGGAAUGGGUGGUAUUGGAAAAACAACACUAGUGAAGGAUAUCUACCAAAUCCAAGAGAUUAGUAGCAUGUUUGAUAAGCGUGCUUGUGUCACAGUCAUGCGUCCUUUCAAUUCAGCAACACUCCUUGAGAGCUUAACUAUGCAAUUCAGAGAUAAUAAUGAGACAAAUACAGAUUUAUGGAGAUAUUUAGAAGGAACGAGAUAUUUGCUUGUCCUUGAUGAUCUGUGGUCCAUAGCAGAGUGGGAUGUUGUAAAACAAUGUUUGCCAGAAACGGCAGCAAGCUGUAUAAUAGUCACCACAAGGGAAGAGAGUAUUGCCAAGCAUUGCUCAAAGGAUGAUAUAAACAUAUACAAGCUGAACCAUCUGGGCCCUGAUGACGCAUGUGACCUCUUCACCAAAAAGGCGUUUAAGGAGACUUUAAGUUUGGAUGAGCGAUAUCCAGAGUUGGUUGAACCAGCAAAACUGAUAUUGAAAAAGUGCAGAGGGCUUCCCCUUGCACUAGUCACCAUAGGUGGCUUCUUGGCAAGCCAACCGAAAACUGCUUUUGAAUGGAGAAAAUUGAAUGAGCAUAUCAGUGCUGAGUUUGAGAUGAAUCCAGAACUUGAGACCAUAAAAACAAUCCUUAUGAAAAACUAUGAUGGUUUACCAUAUCACCUCAAGGCUUGUUUCUUGUAUCUGGCCAUCUUUCCUGAAGACCAGCAGAUCGCAAGGAGACGCUUAGUGUGUCGGUGGCUUGCAGAGGGUUACUCAAGUGAGGUGCGUGGCAAAUCUGUGGAGGAAGUAUUGGAUGGUUAUUUCAUGGAACUCAUAAGUAGGAGCAUGAUCCUGCCAUCUCAACAGUCAAUUUAUAGUAGGAAGGGAAUUGACUCCUGCCAUGUUCAUGAUCUCAUUCGUGAAAUUGCCAUCUCAAAGUCUAUGGGGGAAAAUCUUGUUUUCACAUUGGAGGAAGGGUGCAGCUUAAACAACCGAGGCACAAUGCGCCAUCUUGCUGUAAGCAGCAAUUGGAAGGGGGAUCAGUGUGAGUUUGAGAAUAUACUAGACUUGUCUCAUGUACGAUCAUUGACAGUGUUUGGAAAUUGCAAACCAUUUUUCAUGUCUGAUAAGUUGAGGUUGCUACGAGUGCUGGAUUUGGAAGGCAUUUGGGAUCUGUUUGAUCAUCAUCUUGAGCACAUUGGGAAGCUUUCACAUCUUAGAUAUCUUUCUUUAAGGAGACAUGCUGAAAUAUUUCACCUGCCAAAUUCGUUGGGGAACCUUAGACAACUCCAAACACUAGAUAUUUCUGGUACAAACAUAAUAAAGCUACCAAGGACCAUCAUCAAGCUUGUGAAGUUGCAACGCAUUCUUGCUAGUGGCAUAGGAAAGAUACAUACCGGUGAAGAUGCAUAUGAGCAGUCGCUAAUGAGUUUACCUUUACAUUCAGUACCGUGUUGUGUAGCGUGUUGUGCACCUAAUAGGCUGGGAGAGCAAUUUGGACUUUAUGAUGGUGCACAACUUAACCGGCAUGAUGUAUGCACCACGUUCUGUUGCAGCAUAUUACCUUAUUAUGCGGCAGGAGGACGAAAUCUAGGUGGUGUUGAAGUGCCCAGAGGAAUUCAGAAACUGAAUGCCCUGCACACACUUCGUACCAUGGACAUAUCAGCGGGGAAGAUUGUUCUACAAGAUAUAAAAAAGUGCACUCGGUUGCGCAAGUUAGGAUUGACAGGUAUCAACAAGAGAAAUAGUCAAGGAUUGUGUUCAACAAUUGGUAGUCUCAGCAGCCUGGAGUCAUUGUCACUGCAAUCACAUGGAGAGCCAGGUUUAUUAGGCUGCUUGGAUGGCUUGCCCUCACCUCCAGAAAACCUGCAAAGCCUCAAGUUGAUAGGCAACCUGGUUAAGUUGCCAGAGUGGAUCAAGGGCCUAAAAAAUCUAGUGAAGCUGAGGUUAUGGAGGUCGAUGAUAUCGGAGCACGAUGUGGCCAUACAAGUCCUUGGAAGUCUACCAAACCUGGCCACCCUAUGUCUAUUGAAACACUCGUUCGUUGGUGAAGAGGUCCGUUUCAGUUUCUGUCUGGAGGCAUUCCCGAGCCUGAAGGUGCUACAGCUGGAUGUGAUAGGGAACCUCAAGUCGGUGGGAUUUGAAGAAGGAGCAGCCCCUAAGCUUGAGUUGCUGCAGUAUUUUGGUUGGAGAAGUCCUAGUGUUGGGCUGUUCUCUGGGUUACCGCAUCUCCAAAGCCUCAAGGAAUUUAUGCUGCAUGAAACGGACUGGGUCACUGAGUUUGUCGAGGACUUGCGAGGCCAGCUCUCAGAGUUUGAAAACAAGCCCGUUCUCAAGAGUUGGAAGUACUAG
rnacentral:rRNA from 1 species